AGUCAUAUGCUUGUCUCAAAGAUUAAGCCAUGCAUGUCCCAGUAUUGGUUUCAACAUUGUGAAACUGUGAAUUGCUCAUUAAAACAGCUAUUGCAUAUAUGACUGCAUAUUUACAUGGCUAGCCGUGGCAAUUCUAGAGCUAAUACAUGUACGGAGCCUAACUUUGUGGGGAUGGUAUUGUUUAUUAGUUGUGGAACCAGUCCAGGUUAUCCUUGGUUUCUUCUGAUUGGUUGUAACUGAAUGAAUCGCAUAGCAUCAGUUGGUGGUGCAUCAUUCAAGUAUCUGACCUAUCAGCUUCCGACGGUAAGGUAUUGGCCUACCUUGGCAAUGACGGGUAACG
rnacentral:rRNA from 1 species